UACGUAGGGUGCAAGCGUUAAUCGGAAUUACUGGGCGUAAAGCGUGCGCAGGCGGUUGUGCAAGACCGAUGUGAAAUCCCCGGGCUUAACCUGGGAAUGGCAUUGGUGACUGCACGGCUAGAGUGUGUCAGAGGGGGGUAGAAUUCCACGUGUAGUAGUGAAAUGCGUAGAGAUGUGGAGGAAUACCGAUGGCGAAGGCAGCCCCCUGGGAUAACACUGACGCUCAUGCACGAAAGCGUGGGGAGCAAACAGG
rnacentral:rRNA from 1 species